rnacentral:rRNA from 1 species
UACGUAGGGUGCAAGCGUUAAUCGGAAUUACUGGGCGUAAAGCGUGCGCAGGCGGUUGUGCAAGACCGAUGUGAAAUCCCCGGGCUUAACCUGGGAAUGGCAUUGGUGACUGCACGGCUAGAGUGUGGCAGAGGGGGGUGGAAUUCCACGUGUAGCAGUGAAAUGCGUAGAGAUGUGGAGGAACACCGAUGGCGAAGGCAGCCCCCUGGGCUAACACUGACGCUCAUGCACGAAAGCGUGGGGAGCGAACCGG